rnacentral:rRNA from 1 species
UACGAAGGGUGCAAGCGUUACUCGGAAUUACUGGGCGUAAAGCGUGCGUAGGUGGUUUGUUAAGUCUGUUGUGAAAGCCCCGGGCUCAACCUGGGAAUGGCAAUGGAUACUGCCGGGCUAGAGGACGGUAGAGGCGAGUGGAAUUCCCGGUGUAGCGGUGAAAUGCGCAGAUAUCGGGAGGAACACCAGUAGCGAAGGCAGCUCGCUGGGACGGUACUGACGCUAAGGCGCGAAAGCGUGGGGAGCGAACAGG